rnacentral:rRNA from 1 species
UAUACCGUGAAACUGCGAAUGGCUCAUUAAAUCAGUUAUCGUUUAUUUGAUAGUACCUUACUACUUGGAUAACCGUGGUAAUUCUAGAGCUAAUACAUGCUAAAAACCCCAACUUCGGGAGGGGUGUAUUUAUUAGAUAAAAAACCAACGCCCUUCGGGGCUUCUUGGUGAUUCAUGAUAACUUUACGGAUCGCAUGGCCUUGCGCCGGCGACGGUUCAUUCAAAUUUCUGCCCUAUCAACUUUCGAUGGUAAGGUAUUGGCUUACCAUGGUUUCAACGGGUAACGGGGAAUUAGGGUUCGAUUCCGGAGAGGGAGCCUGAGAAACGGCUACCACAUCCAAGGAAGGCAGCAGGCGCGCAAAUUACCCAAUCCCGACACGGGGAGGUAGUGACAAUAAAUACUGAUACAGGGCUCUUUUGGGUCUUGUAAUUGGAAUGAGUACAAUUUAAACCUCUUAACGAGGAACAAUUGGAGGGCAAGUCUGGUGCCAGCAGCCGCGGUAAUUCCAGCUCCAAUAGCGUAUAUUAAAGUUGUUGCAGUUAAUAAGCUCGUAGUUGAAUUUUGGGUCUGGCUGGCAGGUCCGCCUCACCGCGUGUACUUGUCCGGCCGGGCCUUCCUUCUGGAGAACCUCAUGCCCUUCACUGGGCGUGUUGGGGACCAGGACUUUUACUUUGAAAAAAUUAGAGUGUUCAAAGCAGGCCUUUGCUCGAAUACGUUAGCAUGGAAUAAUAGAAUAGGACGUGCGGUCCUAUUUUGUUGGUUUCUAGGACCGCCGUAAUGAUUAAUAGGGACAGUCGGGGGCAUCAGUAUUCAAUUGUCAGAGGUGAAAUUCUUGGGAUUUAUUGAAGACUAACUACUGCGAAAGCAUUUGCCAAGGAUGUUUUCAUUAAUC